rnacentral:rRNA from 1 species
AACGAACGCUGGCGGCAUGCCUAACACAUGCAAGUCGAACGAGACCUUCGGGUCUAGUGGCGCACGGGUGCGUAACGCGUGGGAACCUGCCCUUAGGUUCGGAAUAACUCCCCGAAAGGGGUGCUAAUACCGGAUAAUGUCUUCGGACCAAAGAUUUAUCGCCUUUGGAUGGGCCCGCGUUGGAUUCGCUAGUUGGUAGGGUAAAAGCCUACCAAGGCGACGAUCCAUAGCUGGUCAGAGAGGAUGAUCCGCCACACUGGGACUGAGACACGGCCCAGACUCCUACGGGAGGCAGCAGAGGGGAAUAUAGGACAAUGGGCGAAAGGCUGAUCCAGCAAUGCCGCGUGAGUGAUGAAGGCCGUAGGGUUGUAAAGCUCUUUUAACCGGGAUGAUAAUGACGGUACCGGGAGAAUAAGCUCCGGCUAACUCCGUG